rnacentral:rRNA from 1 species
UUAAAUUGAAGAGUUUGAUCAUGGCUCAGAUUGAACGCUGGCGGCAGGCCUAACACAUGCAAGUCGAACGGUAGCACAGAGAGCUUGCUCUCGGGUGACGAGUGGCGGACGGGUGAGUAAUGUCUGGGAAACUGCCUGAUGGAGGGGGAUAACUACUGGAAACGGUAGCUAAUACCGCAUAA